GGUUAAAUCAAAAGAAAUAGAAAUAAAAAUAGAGACAUGUAUUUGUGGCUUUUUUGCCGAAACUGCUGUUCAAAGUGUAUUCUAUAUUAUUUGCAAGUAAAUCGUGUAGGUCAACAGCAAAUACUAGUCAAAGCACUUUGUGGACUUUAAAACACAAAUUCAAACUGCAGAUUGCAAGAAUCAACAAAUUUUCAAAACUUUCAAAUAUUUCUUACUGGGGUGGCGGAUGUCUACGCCGUGUUAGAGUAGAUUAAAGUGAUUUUUCCGGGAAAUGUUAAAGAAUUUUCCAGUCUUUAAUUAUUGUAUUAGAAUUUCAGUCAGCACUGCAGGUUUUUCAGAGAUAAUUUUCCACGGGUGCUUACAAAAAAUGAUUUAUACGGUGCAUCUCUUCAUGGAUUUCAUAAAAAGUUUCAUGGUUGCAAUUUGUGUUAUGGUUUUAGAUUCGAUUUGAUGAGUAUUUAGUUACACUAAAAUGUAACUUCUUACUUACUGUUAUAUAUAAAGCAUUCAUAAAGUUCCAUAUAACACGAU
rnacentral:lncRNA from 1 species